CAUCCUUUUCCUCAUUUUUUUUAUAUUUUAUUUUUUUUAUGCACAAUCUAGACCAUUAUUGAGGGUAAGUCAACUUCAACGCCAAAACACAGGAGUGCUCAGAUUUCACUGGAAAUUUUACAAAAUUUCUUGUCUUUUGAACGAGUGUUCAUCAUUUAGAAGUCCUGAAAGCCAGCCAAAAACUCAUUUGUGCCAAGACUUGAGAGCAUGUCUGUGGUUGGACAAGCAGUUCUAUCUGCUUUCUUUCGAGUUUUGUUUAACAGAUUGGCUUCUCCUGAAUUGCUCAAGUAUGCACGCCAGGAGCAAGUUUACGCUGAAUUCAAGAAAUGGGAGAAAAUACUGAUCAAAAUACAUGCAGUGCUUGAUGAUGCAGAAGAGAAGCAGCUGACUAACCAGUUUGUGAAGAUUUGGUUAGCUGAGCUUAGAGACCUGGCUUAUGAUGUGGACGACAUACUGGAUGAAUUCACCACAGAGGCUAUUCAACGUGGAUUGAUUGUUGAACCAGAAGCCAGCACAAGCAAGCUCCACAAGCUUAUCCAGACUUGCACCAGCCUAAUUCCAACCAAUACUGCGUUCAGAAUUAGGAUGGGAUCCAAGAUGAAAGGGAUCACUACUAGAUUGGAAGAAAUUUCCAGUCAUAAAAAUGACCUGGAUUUGAGAGAAAAUUUGGAAGGGAACUCCAACAAAGUAAGAAAAAGACUUCCCACAACUUGUUUGGUGAAUGAAUCUCAAGUUCUUGGAAGGGAAAGAGAUAAAGAGGACGUACUUGAGUUAUUGAUGAGGGAUUAUGUAUGUGACAGCAAAAUCUGUGUAAUAGCAAUAGUAGGCAUGGCUGGGGUAGGCAAGACUACCCUUGCACAACUUAUCUACAAUGAUAACCAAGUGAAUGAUUGUUUUGAUCUAAAGGUGUGGGCUUGUGUAUCUGAUGAUUUUGAUGUUUUAAGCACAACGAAAACAAUUCUUGAGUCACUCACUCACAGGACCUUCGGCUGCAAUUUAAAUUUGCUUCAGGGUAGACUACAAGGUAUACUAACAGAUAAGAAGUUUCUGCUUGUUCUAGAUGAUGUUUGGAAUGAAAACUACCAUAACUGGGAAGUCCUUUGCAGUCCUUUUAGAAGGGGAGCACCAGGGAGUAAAAUAGUUGUCACAACUCGCAAUGAAGGUGUUGCAUCAAUCAUGGGAUCUGUUGCAGCUUACCGCCUCAAGGAGUUGCCAUAUGAUAGUUGUUUGCCUUUGUUCACUCAACUGGCAUUGGGAACUAAUAGCUUUGAUGCUCAUCCGAACCUCAAAGCAAUUGGUGAAGGAAUAGUGGGAAAAUGUAAAGGCCUACCUUUGGCAGCUAAGACACUAGGUAGUCUGUUGCAAACUAAAGGCAGCCAGGAUGAAUGGGAGGAUAUAUUGCACAGCAAAAUAUGGGACUUACCAGAAGAGCAAAGCAUUAUUCUUCCUGCACUAAGAUUGAGCUACCACCAUUUGCCCUCUCAUUUGAAGCAGUGCUUUGCUUACUGCUCAAUUUUCCCAAAGGACUAUGAGUUCAGCAAGGAGGAGUUAAUUCUUUUAUGGAUGGCAGAAGGUUUCCUGCAACAACCAAAAGGAACAAAACGCAUGGAAAAUUUGGGAGCGAAGUACUUUGAUGAUCUACUGUCAAGAUCAUUAUUUCAACAAUCAAGCAGAAAUGAGUCACUAUUUGUAAUGCAUGAUCUCAUCAAUUAUCUAGCUCAGUAUGUCGCUGGAGAAGUCUGCUUCAGGUUGGAGGAUAGGCUAGAGAGCGUGCAGAAAGCUCGUCAUGUGUCUUACAUUCGUCAUCGAUAUGAAGUCUUCAAAAAAUUUGAGGUACUAUACAAAGCUCAAAGCUUGCGGACUUUCUUACCGCUACCAGUUCACAUGGGACUUGGUAUUCGCAAUUUUUAUUUGACAAGGAAAGUAACAGAUGAGUUGCUGCCGAAGCUAAGAUGUUUAAGGGUGCUGUCCUUGAGCGGCUAUUGCAUAAGUGUGCUACCAAAUGUGAUUGGCAAGUUAAAACAUUUACGUUACCUUGAUUUAUCUCAUACUUUGAUCAAAACCUUGCCUGAGUCUGUGAGUGCUCUCUGCAAUUUACAAACGCUAAUCUUACAUGGUUGUGGUGCGCUUUCAAAUUUGCCUGCAGGCAUUGUGAACCUCAUUAAUUUGCGUCAUCUAGACAUUACUAAUACAAAACAACUGCUAGAGCUGCCCUUAAGGAUGGGUAAACUGACAAACUUGAGGACAUUGUCUAAAUUUGUGGUGGGGAAAGGCAAUGGAUCAAAGGUAACAGAGUUGAGGGACUUGUUGCGUCUCCGUGGGCAACUAGCCAUUACUGGGUUGCAUAAUGUGGCAAACAUUUAUGAAGCUGGGGAAGCAAACUUACAGUACAAGCAGGAUCUUCAAGAGUUAGUCAUGGAAUGGAGCAGCAAUAUUGAACUCCAAAAUGAAAGUGAUGACAGAAAGGAAAUGGAUGUACUUGACAUGUUGCAACCUCAUAAAAACUUGAAGGUGCUGAAAAUUGAAUUCUAUGCAGGCAAGUCAUUUCCGAGUUGGAUUGGGCAUUCUUCAUUCUCCAAACUCAAAAGCUUGACUCUCAAAAGUUGUGCUAAAUGCUCAUCAUUGCCAUCACUUGGGAAAUUGCCCUUUCUUGCAGAUUUAUGCAUUGAAGGCAUGCGUAGUGUGAAAACUGUAAGUCUUGAAUUCUAUGGGGAAGAUUUCACUCUCACACCUUUUCCAUCCUUGAAGAUAUUAACAUUUUGUGAUAUGCUAGAAUGGGAGGAUUGGUCUACAAUUGCAGAAGAAGCUUUUGACAGUGAAUUCCCCUGCCUCUGCGAGCUUCGCUUGAGGAAUUGUCCUAAGUUGAUACGGAGAUUGCCAAACAACCUACCCUCGCUUGUAAAACUUGACAUUAAUAAAUGCCCAUUAUUGGAAGUUCAGCUUCCCAAACUUUCGUCUCUCUGUGACUUGAGUUUGGAAGAAUGCAAUGAGGUUGCAGUAAGUAGUGUAGCGGAUCUCACCUCAUCUUCACUCACUACCUUGCAACUUCGGAACAUUUCAAACGUUAGCCAAUUGCCUGUGCAAUGCUCACUAGCACUUAAAGUUAUGCAUAUUAUUAAUUGCAGUGAACUGACAACUUUAAGGCAGAUUGAAGAUCAAUUGCUGCCCAGUAGACUUGAGCAAUUAGAACUAUGCAACUGCAGUAACUUGAAAGAACUGCCAGAUAGGUUCUUCAGCUUCACAUCACUUGCAGACUUGAAGAUCAAACGAUGCCCAAAACUUGUGUCUUUCCCAAAGUUGGGGUCUCCAUUCAUGCUUAGACAUCUCAUUAUUGAAGAAUGUGAAUCUUUGGAAUGCCUACCUGAUGGAAUGAUGACGCAUACAAAUACAAGAAGUGGAAGCAACAACAUUUCCCAUCUUGAGAGUUUGGAAAUCAUUAAAUGUCCAUCGCUCAAAUCUUUCCCUAGAGGUCAGUUACCAACCAGCCUAAAGGUACUCAAGAUUUGGGAUUGCAUGCAGUUGGAAUCACUUCCUGGAAUGAUAUUGCAGAACACCGAGUCACUUGAGUGCUUUAGUGUGAGGAAAUAUUCAAAUUUGAAGACCUUACCUGAGUGCUUUGAUCGCCUCACUCAUCUUAUUGAACUGCACAUAAGCUAUUGUGCAAGUCUAGAGUUGUUCCCAGAAACAGGCCUACCUGCUUCAAACCUGACAAGGUUUUAUGUUUUCAAUUGUCCAAAUCUUAGAUCCCUACCUGAAAACAUGCAUAGCCUCACAGCACUCCAACAUUUAGGAAUAUCUAGUUGUCCAGGUCUGGUGUCAUUUCCUGAAGGUGGGUUGCCUUCCAACCUAAAAUCAAUCCGGAUCAAUAAUUGUGAGAAUCUCCCACAUCUAUCUGAGUGGGGAUUACACAGAAUCCUGACACUCAAGGAUUUAACUAUUUCUGGUGGAUGGCCAAAUUUGGCGUCUCUUGCACAAGAGUGUUGGCUUCCUGCAUCUCUAACAUAUCUUCGAAUUGGAAAGCUCAUCAAUCUAGAGUCCUUAUCCUUAAGGCUAGAACACCUCUCCUCACUUGAGGUACUAGAGAUUACAGAAUGUCCGAAGGUGCAUUCCUUACCAAAGGAAGGGUUGCCUCCAACUCUUUCUAUCCUAGAAAUUUUGGACUGCCCUAUUCUGAAAAGGAAGCUGUUGAAGAAGAAAGGAAGAUAUGCAUCCAUUAUAGCCAAUGUACCUCGUGUGGCGAUAGAUGAUGUGUUGCUGCAAUAAACAACAGGCAUGAUAAGUUCUGUACUCCAAAAGAAAAGAGGAAUGGCUGCUUCUCAAAGCUUCCUUAUGUUCAAGAAUGGAUCUGCACAUCAUUGACAGUGCAGAUUACGGUGCAUUCUCCCAUUAUAAAGAUCAUCAUCUUUAGCAUACACUAGAGAAACCCAAGCUUGGUCAAGAAUCUCCACUCUUUACCCACUGGAGCAGAAAUAAAUGGAUAAUGAAGAGGUUGUCUGUUUCCUGUGGCGGCAAGUUGAUCAACUAGAAGAGCAUACCCAUUUGACUAAACUAUGUAACAGCAUUCAGCACUUACUUUUCUUGGACAGUAUUUUUAAUUUUUUAUUAUUAAAAAAAAUAAAAAUAUUAAAAAAAUUAUUUUAAUAUGAACAAGGGUAAAUGUCCCCACCUAAGUUAAACUAUCAACAAGGGUAAAUGUUUGUAGAUCAGCCAGAGUUGUCCCACCUGAGUUAAACUAUCAACAAGGGUAAAUUUCCCUGAUAUCCUCUGUAGAUGAUAUUUUCAAACCCAUGAUUACUUGAAGAAUUCAGUGUUCGUA